UACAGAGGGUGCAAGCGUUAAUCGGAAUUACUGGGCGUAAAGCGUGCGUAGACGGUUAUUUAAGUCAGGUGUGAAAGCCCCGGGCUCAACCUGGGAAUUGCAUUUGAGACUGAAUAGCUAGGGUGCGGAAGAGGGAAGCGGAAUUUCCGGUGUAGCGGUGAAAUGCGUAGAUAUCGGAAGGAACACCAGUGGCGAAAGCGGCUUCCUGGUCCAGCACCGACGUUCAGGCACGAAAGCGUGGGGAGCAAAC
rnacentral:rRNA from 1 species